AACGAACGCUGGCGGCACGCUUAAUACAUGCAAGUCGUACGAGAAAGUUCCUUCGGGAGCGAGUAAAGUGGCGCACGGGUGAGUAACACGUGGGCGACCUACCCUGUAGCGGGGGAUAACAGGAAGAAGUUCCUGCUAAUACCGCAUAAGCUAGAUAAAUUUGGAAGUAAUCUAGGAAAGGUGGCCUCUACUUGUAAGCUACCACUAUAGGAUGGGCCUGCGGGCCAUUAGCUUGUUGGUGAGGUAACGGCUCACCAAGGCGACGAUGGCUAGCCGGUCUGAGAGGAUGAUCGGCCACACUGGAACUGAGACACGGUCCAG
rnacentral:rRNA from 1 species